CAUAAUUAUUACUGCAUCAAGGAGAUAAAUCAUAAUUAAUCAAUACGCAUCAUUAGGUAGGUGUUUUCCACCUUUUUGCCUUGUAAAAACAAAGAGAACUUGGAUCUCAAGUUUAGACCAGUUCUUCAUAUUUGUAAUGUUUAAUCCUGCUAAAAAUAAGAUUGAUGACAACUUUUUUAUUUUAAAUUAAUCAUCUUUGUGAAGUUUUGUGCCUCCCAAAACCCUUCAUAACGGCAUUUGGGGUCAUAGUUGCAAUUAUGGCUAGUGGUUGUGGCAUUGAUUGCAGCUAAUGCUGAGAUGAUUCGUUUAGUGUGUUAACUAUUUUUUGAAUUUCCUCUAGCUCUUACUCUAUCAUCCUUUCCAGAUUGUUCAAACUAAUAACGUUGAGUUGGUGAAGAGGUUUUCCCAUAAG
rnacentral:lncRNA from 1 species